AUGCGCUGUGAAGGAGGCUGCUUAUUUUGCAUGCCAGAUGUUGAUCGAGCGCUUUGGAGAAGUUGCCAAAGCGAAAGCAAAGGUUACAUCAUAAACAGUAGGGUUAAAUAUAUUUGUGACACAUAUUUAAAGACCACAGCCGUAAAGGCGAACCAGAUCCUACCAGGUUUUUGCUGCAAUUUGGCUCUAAACUCAGUUUGCAGGUAAAUUAUUAGUGGAGGGUUUCAAAGUCUUUUGGCAGCGAUUUGUGAAUGUCCCCAUCAUGCAUAGAGUACCUUGAUCAGUGCCAUACUAAUCGCUUAGUGCUGAUCUGUUCUCUUACCUUAUGUCACCUUUGCUGUUUUGUACUGUAUGUUUAACUUGGGCAUUCUCCAAGUGUGUAAAGGAACAGUAGUUUGGCUGCUUUUAUGCAGGAGUGGAUGUUUGUCCCUUAAACGCCAAAUUCUGUUGAAUAGUAGCAUGUUAGAGAUGCCUACUGUAGAUUGUGGACCACUGCCAAUCAUUUGAGCUCCAACAGAAGCAUGUGUAUGAACAGGAAUAACAGCAAAUAAGAGAACAAGUAAGAGUGCACACAAAUACUGUAGCAUGCCAUUUCUUCUUGUUCAAAUCACAUCAUGAGAUAUCUGUUCUCUCUGUAUUGUCUCUUCUACCUUGUAUCCCUCCCUGUCAGUGCAAAUCCCAGUCUCAGAGGAAGCCUUUGCUCUUUGAUUCUUUAGAGCUAACACCAAACCCUGAUUUUACAGUUGAUGUUUUUUAGUAGCAGAUACUGUCACACUGAAUCACUGCCACACUGGUAAAUAUCUAAACAUAAUCUCACAAAAACAACAAUAGGGUGAAUUCAAGGUAUAUCAAAAACUUCUGUUUUCAACUAAACAGCAUAUAAACAUUGUUUAUAUUAAGGUGGGGUUUGGUUUUACGGGCUAAUACAGCGACUUAUCAGAAAACUAAAGGUAAACCACUUACAAACACACAUUGAUACAGUGUUCUGAGUGUGAAGGAGAGCAGAAACACAGCAGGAAGAUUGUGCUGUGGCAUCCCAAACCAUAAGUGCACACAGGAAGCCACAUGAAUUGCUGAUGUAUGCAGACAGAUAAAAAAGACAGAACCUACUUAAGAACAGUGUUACUGAGAUAAUGAUCAUAGAAUUUAAA
rnacentral:lncRNA from 1 species